rnacentral:rRNA from 1 species
UAGGGAAUCUUCGGCAAUGGACGAAAGUCUGACCGAGCAACGCCGCGUGAGUGAAGAAGGUUUUCGGAUCGUAAAACUCUGUUGUUAGAGAAGAACAAGGACGUUAGUAACUGAACGUCCCCUGACGGUAUCUAACCAGAAAGCCACGGCUAACUACGUGCCAGCAGCCGCGGUAAUACGUAGGUGGCAAGCGUUGUCCGGAUUUAUGGGGCGUAAAGCGAGCGCAGGCGGUUUCUUAAGUCUGAUGUGAAAGCCCCCGGCUCAACCGGGGAGGGUCAUUGGAAACUGGGAGACUUGGGUGCAGAAGAGGAGAGUGGAAUUCCAUGUGUAGCGGUGAGAUGCGUAGAUAUAUGGAGGAACACCAGUGGCGAAGGCGGCUCUCUGGUCUGUAACUGACGCUGAGGCUCGAAAGCGUGGGGAGCAAACAGG